AUUGAACGCUGGCGGCAGGCCUAACACAUGCAAGUCGAACGAGUGGCGGACGGGUGAGUAAUGUCUGGGAAACUGCCCGAUGGAGGGGGAUAACUACUGGAAACGGUAGCUAAUACCGCAUACCAUCGGAUUUGCCCAGAUGGGAUUAGCUUGUAGGUGAGGUAACGGCUCACCUAGGCGACGAUCCCUAGCUGGUCUGAGAGGAUGACCAGCCACAAUGGAACGUAGACACGGCCCAGAGUACGACGGGGGGCAACAGUGGGGAAUAUUGCACAAUGGGCGCAAGGCUGAUGCAGCCAUGCCGCGUGUAUGAAGAAGGCCUUCGGGUUGUAAAGUACUUUCAGCGGGGAGGCGGUACCCGCAGAAGAAUGACCGGCUAACUCCGUGCCAGAAGCCGCGGUAAUAC
rnacentral:rRNA from 1 species